UGAAAACCAAUUGCAAAUUGUCUCAGAAUAUCCCUCUCUGCAUCAUACUAAAAUAUAACUCAAAGAAGAAUGAAGGAUGUUAGCUAUAAAGACUUGCUGGAUAAGAAAGCAUUACAUUAUAUGAUCACUAUACAUAUAUAUUAAUAGAUAGGAGGACACUACAAUAAGCUGUAUAUACAAACAUAAGCCUAUUAGGAAAUGGCCAGAGAGUGGACAAUGAUAACCAGGGGUCCCAAUGCACUUCCUAUAAAUACAGUAUAUUCACCAGUUUCUCUUUGCUGAAUGUCACAACAUCGAGCAGCUCUACUCACUGCCUUGCAAAGUGUUAACACGGGCGACCUCUUUGUGGUAUGAAGAGCGAGAAAGCCCAGUGCAUGAUGGGAAGGUGCAGGGAAGGAAGUGGGCAGAUGGAGUCCAGCAAAGCAGUGACAGAUAUUGUUAUAAGCUCAGAAGGAAAAUGUCUCUUGGUUACUGGAAGCUGAUAGUCCUCACUCUGCUCCCAUACUGUGUGUAUUCAGGUCCCUGUGGGCCCACGAGAAAUAUCACCGGGAAAGAGGGAGAAACUGCAACUCUACAUGUAAAUGCAACAGGAGGCAGAGCUAUUGCUUGGGUUCUUGUCAAUGGUACCCGCACAAAUACAUUUGCUGAAACAAAACCAAACUCCAGUAUCAAUAUCAGAGGCAAUCAGUACAAGGGGAGAGUGAGCAGCACCAAUGAUGGUUCCUUAAUCUUCACUCAUCUCACCAAAAAGGUCCAAGGGAUCUACAGAGCGGAGGUCUCCAAGUCAGACUGCUCUCACUUCUACAGUCUCAAGGUCUACAAAUCCCUGGUGGCUGAGGAUAUACAGAUACAUCAUAAUAGGAGUGAGAGCUGUAACGUGAUAUUAAGCUGCACAGUAAAUGAACGGGAUGUGACCAUUAGCUGGAGUCAUACAGACAGGACAGGCCCCACUCUCCAUGUGUAUAAUGUAUCAGAUGCAGGUGUCUAUACCUGUACUGCACACAAUCCCAUCAGCAGCGCCUCCAAGAGUCUCACUCUCACCCAUAUCUGCUAUAAUGGCAAGCACAGCCAGCUGUAUUAUCUCACGGGACUGAUACUUGUCCCUGUAAUCGUGUGCCCCAUUUUGUGCUUCAUAUGGAUCUUUAUGAGAAAGAGGAGGAAGAAGACAGUUGAUCAGAAUGCAGCAGGAGAAAUUCAAGGACAGACUGUCUAUUCUGAGGUGGAAAAUUACAGGACCCGAGUACAUAUGCUGACAUCACAGCCCAGAGUAGAACCAGCUGCCCCAUGACUAUCUAUAGCCAAAUACAUGUAGAAAAGGGGAGAAACAGGGAAACAACCAAUGAAACGAGAACACAGAAUGCAGAAACAGAGUAUUGUAAAGUGUCUCAUCCUAUUCGGGGGGCAGAGAGAAACCAAAAGAAUGGAAGAACCACAAAAUUUAACGUAGAAACAGAAUACAGUGUGGUGGGCCAUGCUACCCAGAAGAAAGAGAACCCAAAUAAGAAGCCCAAGAAACAGAAAGAACAUGAGCAACAAGUGAACCCAGAACCAUUUUAUGAGCAGGUGUCAUUUCCCCAGGCACCUAUCAUAGCAGACAAAGAAGCUUUUACCAAAUAUGAUGUCAUCAAACGAUCUUAAAAUGAAGUCACCAAUGAAAUCUGCAGUAGCUUUAAUGUUUUAUAUCUUGCUGUAAUAUAUUGUGAAAAUAUGUCAUUAUAAAUUGAGGUUGACUCUUGAAUUUAAAAAUAUGUUGUUUUUUUUAAUCUGAUAACUCACUUUAGUACUAUGCAACCCAUGGCCGUUCAGCUGUUUUGAGGCUACUGGUCUCAGUAUCCCGUUGAUCUGGUUCAUGGUGGUGGUUCAUGAUGGUCUUAAAUGAUAUGGGCAAUAAAAUAAAUUGCAAUAAGUCAAAUUUAUUGUCAUCUCAACUGUUGAAAGGUACACAGUGGGGCU